rnacentral:rRNA from 1 species
GACGAACCGAGCGAACGUUGUUCGGAAUCACUGGGCUUAAAGGGCGCGUAGGCGGGCUGUCAAGUCUGGGGUGAAAUCCCGCGGCUCAACCGCGGAACUGCCUCAGAUACUGACGGUCUCGAGGGGGUAGGGGCGAGCGGAACUGAUGGUGGAGCGGUGAAAUGCGUUGAUAUCAUCAGGAACUCCGGUGGCGAAGGCGGCUCGCUGGACCCCUUCUGACGCUGAGGCGCGAAAGCCAGGGGAGCCAAAGCGGG